rnacentral:rRNA from 1 species
ACUCCUACGGGAGGCAGCAGUGGGGAAUAUUGCACAAUGGGGAAACCCUGAUGCAGCCAUGCCGCGUGUGUGAAGAAGGCCUUCGGUUGUAAAGCACUUUCAGUAGGGAGGAAGGUAGUGUAGUUAACACCUGCAUUAUUUGACGUUACCUACAGAAGAAGCACCGGCUAACUCCGUGCCAGCAGCCGCGGUAAUACGGAGGGGUGCGAGCGUUAAUCGGAAUUACUGGGCGUAAAGCGCAUGCAGGCGGCCUGUUAAGUCAGAUGUGAAAGCCCGGGGGCUUAACCUCGGAAUUGCAUUUGAAACUGGCAGGCUAGAGUCUUGUAGAGGGGGUAGAAUUUCAGGUGUAGCGGUGAAAUGCGUAGAGAUCUGAAGGAAUACCAGUGGCGAAGGCGGCCCCCUGGACAAAGACUGACGCUCAGAUGCGAAAGCGUGGGGAGCAAACAGGAUUAGAUACCCUGGUA